rnacentral:lncRNA from 1 species
CUCGAUCCAAGCAGGGUGCAGACACGGCACGAGGCGCCACUAAUGUGUACGUUCACACAUCAUCAUCAGCCAGUCACUCACGCCUAAUACCCACACGAAUACAGCACCGUCAUCAUGGCAUGUUUCACAUCGUGGGCAGCCCGGAAGUCACUAAGAGAGGCCCUAAUGCGAGGAGAAUCAUGUCCAAAUCCCCCGAAUUGAUGUCUGACAUUAGUGAAUUAAGUGUGUACAUACUGAGUACCUCCUGUGUUGAAGAAGACGUAGCACUUUGUGACCACGGUCUAUUUCCUUUCCUCCUCGUGUGUGUCACCGUACAAAAAUUCUGAAAGAACAGAGAGCCAGCCAAUAGAGGUCAGCUGACUCGAAUACGCACAAACAACACAAAGGGGUUGGGAUCAUUGAAUAGGUUGGUUUGGUGUACCAGCAAAAGAGUAAUGAAGGGACUGGGCAGCCAUCCACCAUCA